UGGAUAAUGUGCAGCAUCCAUCCUGGCAGGCCCAGCUCAGGGGUCGCAAGAAAUGGACCUUGCAGCCGCCACCCGAGUGCUACUACCAGUGCAACCAUGUGGAGGUUAUCGUCGAGCCCGGAGAGAUCAUUGUGUUGGACACAAACCGAUGGUAUCACCAGACGCUUAUCGUUUCAAACGAGAUGAGCAUCACCAUUGGAGCCGAGUAUGACUAACAGGGCCCCGGAACUAAAGAAAUCAACAUAUAUGAAGAUCUUUGUGUAUGAAAGAGUGAUCCAGACACAUUGAGACAGAAUAAGAGAAAGAAAACUUGGUAAAUUCACGAUGUAAGAAGAUAUCAUUGUAACGUUGCUAUGAAAGUUUGAUAUGUUAUCUUAUAAAUGUCAUAUUAUGUUGUAACUGUUUUCUUAAUUUAUUUCAUAUCUAAAUUAAAUGGGGAAACAAUUAAAUGUGUGUAUGGAUGACAAUUUAUUCUUUCAAACAGUAAAACAGUUUUCUUAUUUUUAGUUUUUGAAAUGUAAUUACGAAAAAUGUGUCUUUAUAGUUGUUCGCAAAUAGUUGAUUUAACUUGUACAUUAUUAAAAUGUAACAGUGAUGGGAGUCCUGUAAAAUUUCUGUGGAAGAAAUAAGUGAAUUGAUUACUUUAAUCAUAUUGCUGAUAUUUUAUAUGAUGUUUUGUGCACUGGUGAAAUUCUUAAUAAACAUAAAACUUUAUAAAUUUCUGUUGAUAGCCCUUCACUUGGUUUUGUAAGUUUCAACUGGAAUUUAAAAUUUCACUGUUGUUAGCUGUUCGUAACAUAUUUUCUUAAAAAUUACUUUGUAAUGAGUUUCAUAGCUAGAGUGUGCUGAAUUUAGAUUACAGGCCUGCUUUGUAACUUUUUAACUGUGAAAAUAUGCUCAUACAAUGAGAACUGCCCCUCCCACUUAGGAUUACAAUUAUGUAUGGCCUUAAUGCAUACUAUAAAAUAAUAUAUAUUAUUGCGCUGAAGGAGCCAGUAAUUUUGCACAUUCAUAUUGCACAUUUUUAAUAAGAAAUCCAUAUUGUUUCACUUAGACAGGACUAGGGGUAUGCGGACUGAUUCAAUUUGUUUCACUCAAAUUGUUUAUUUAAAUCAAUAAAAAAUCUUGGAGCUGU